ACAUAACUGUCAAGUGAAUGGGUCAUAACUACACAAUGAGUUUUAAAUUCAUUAUUUAAAAUUAAUGAUAUUUCAAAUUGUUAAAUGUUAUAAUGUUUAUUUAAAUGCUGCGUGCCUUUUGACGUGUUCUAUGGUUUCAAUGGGCGUACGUGCGCGUAAACAUUGAGUCGCAAUUCAAAGACAGGAGCGCGCGUGAGCAGAUGGAAACCAUGGAAACGAGGAAACCUCAUCAACUGUCAAACAGCAAAACUAGCGUCUCUCACUGUUGUUUUCUCUGCUUUCAGAAGAUCAUCUUGGCCUGCUGCACCCCCUGUCCAAGACAAUCUCCACGGCUAUGAACUCGACUAAUGAGAUGUCAAUCAUUUGACCCUGUGAUUCUUCAGGACAAGAUCUUGAUGCCAUCCACACUGAACAUGACAUCGUACAUGAC